rnacentral:rRNA from 1 species
CCUACGGGUGGCAGCAGUGGGGAAUAUUGCACAAUGGGGGGAACCCUGAUGCAGCGACGCCGCGUGAGUGAAGAAGUCAUUCGUGUUGUAAAGCUCUAUCAGUAGGGAAGAAAAUGACGGUACCUGACUAAUAAUCCCCGGCUAACUCCGUGCCAGCAGCCGCGGCAAUACGUAGGGGGCAAGCGUUAUCCGGAUUCACUGGGCGUAACGGGAGCGUAGACGGGAGAGCAAGUCCGAUGUGAAAGCCGGGGGCUCAACCCCGGGACUGCUUUGGAAACUGUGAGGCUGGAGUGCGGGAGGGGGAGGCGGAAUUCGUGGUGUAGCGGUAAAAUGCGUAGAGAGCAGGAGGAACA